rnacentral:rRNA from 1 species
AUGAAUGAGGAAGCGGUUCAGUGGCGGUUCACGGGUUUCUAUGGUCGUCCGAAAUGGAAUGAGCGCCAUCUUUCUUGGGACGAUAUUCGCAACCUAUAUAGUAAGGGCAAUCACCCCUGGGUUGUUUUGGGGGACUUUAAUGAAAUUUUAUACCCGUUAGAAAAAGAGGGUGGUAUUGCUAGACCACUUGGUAUGAUGAGAGAAUUUCGUGAAUGCCUAAUGGAUUGCGGGCUGGAUGACCUUGGCUAUACGGGUGACCUGUUCACUUGGAGGAGAGGCGAAAUUCGUGAACGUCUUGAUCGAGGGGUCUGCAAUAUAGCGUGGGCAAACAAAUUUCCACGAGCGGCAGUUAUCAAUGAAGAACAUGUUCAUUCUGACCACCGCCCAAUCAUACUGGAUACGGAUUACUUGGAUGAAAAAAUCUUUAAACGACCAGAAGGACGGGUUAAAUAG